rnacentral:rRNA from 1 species
GGUUAACCGAAUAGGGGAGCCGAAGGGAAACCGAGUCUUAACUGGGCGUUAAGUUGCAGGGUAUAGACCCGAAACCCGGUGAUCUAGCCAUGGGCAGGUUGAAGGUUGGGUAACACUAACUGGAGGACCGAACCGACUAAUGUUGAAAAAUUAGCGGAUGACUUGUGGCUGGGGGUGAAAGGCCAAUCAAACCGGGAGAUAGCUGGUUCUCCCCGAAAGCUAUUUAGGUAGCGCCUCGUGAACUCAUCUUCGGGGGUAGAGCACUGUUUCGGCUAGGGGGUCAUCCCGACUUACCAACCCGAUGCAAACUGCGAAUACCGAAGAAUGUUAUCACGGGAGACACACGGCGGGUGCUAACGUCCGUCGUGAAGAGGGAAACAACCCAGACCGCCAGCUAAGGUCCCAAAGUCAUGGUUAAGUGGGAAACGAUGUGGGAAGGCACAGACAGCCAGGAUGUUGGCUUAGAAGCAGCCAUCAUUUAAAGAAAGCGUAAUAGCUCACUGGUCGAGUCGGCCUGCGCGGAAGAUGUAACGGGGCUAAACCAUGCACCGAAGCUGCGGCAGCGACACUAUGUGUUGUUGGGUAGGGGAGCGUUCUGUAAGCCGUUGAAGGUGUGUCGUGAGGCAUGCUGGAGGUAUCAGAAGUGCGAAUGCUGACAUAAGUAACGAUAAUGCGGGUGAAAAACCCGCACGCCGGAAGACCAAGGGUUCCUGUCCAACGUUAAUCGGGGCAGGGUGAGUCGACCCCUAAGGCGAGGCCGAAAGGCGUAGUCGAUGGGAAACAGGUUAAUAUUCCUGUACUUGGUGUUACUGCGAAGGGGGGACGGAGAAGGCUAUGUUAGCCGGGCGACGGUUGUCCCGGUUUAAGCAUGUAGGCGGAGGUUCCAGGUAAAUCCGGUACCUUAUUAACGCUGAGGUGUGAUGACGAGGCACUACGGUGCUGAAGUAACAAAUGCCCUGCUUCCAGGAAAAGCCUCUAAGCAUCAGGUAACACGAAAUCGUACCCCAAACCGACACAGGUGGUCAGGUAGAGAAUACCAAGGCGCUUGAGAGAACUCGGGUGAAGGAACUAGGCAAAAUGGUGCCGUAACUUCGGGAGAAGGCACGCUGAUAUGUAGGUGAAGUGAUUUACUCAUGGAGCUGAAAUCAGUCGAAGAUACCAGCUGGCUGCAACUGUUUAUUAAAAACACAGCACUGUGCAAACACGAAAGUGGACGUAUACGGUGUGACGCCUGCCCGGUGCCGGAAGGUUAAUUGAUGGGGUUAUCCGUAAGGAGAAGCUCUUGAUCGAAGCCCCGGUAAACGGCGGCCGUAACUAUAACGGUCCUAAGGUAGCGAAAUUCCUUGUCGGGUAAGUUCCGACCUGCACGAAUGGCGUAAUGAUGGCCAGGCUGUCUCCACCCGAGACUCAGUGAAAUUGAACUCGCUGUGAAGAUGCAGUGUACCCGCGGCAAGACGGAAAGACCCCGUGAACCUUUACUAUAGCUUGACACUGAACACUGGUCCUUGAUGUGUAGGAUAGGUGGGAGGCUUUGAAGUGUGGACGCCAGUCUGCAUGGAGCCAUCCUUGAAAUACCACCCUUUAAUGGCUGGUGUUCUAACGUAGACCCGUAAUCCGGGUUGCGGACAGUGUCUGGUGGGUAGUUUGACUGGGGCGGUCUCCUCCUAAAGAGUAACGGAGGAGCACGAAGGUUAGCUAAUCCUGGUCGGACAUCAGGAGGUUAGUGCAAAGGCAUAAGCUAGCUUGACUGCGAGAGUGACGGCUCGAGCAGGUGCGAAAGCAGGUCUUAGUGAUCCGGUGGUUCUGAAUGGAAGGGCCAUCGCUCAACGGAUAAAAGGUACUCCGGGGAUAACAGGCUGAUACCGCCCAAGAGUUCAUAUCGACGGCGGUGUUUGGCACCUCGAUGUCGGCUCAUCACAUCCUGGGGCUGAAGUAGGUCCCAAGGGUAUGGCUGUUCGCCAUUUAAAGUGGUACGCGAGCUGGGUUUAGAACGUCGUGAGACAGUUCGGUCCCUAUCUGCCGUGGGCGCUGGAGAAUUGAGGGGGGCUGCUCCUAGUACGAGAGGACCGGAGUGGACGCAUCACUGGUGUUCGGGUUGUCAUGCCAAUGGCAUUGCCCGGUAGCUAAAUGCGGAAGAGAUAAGUGCUGAAAGCAUCUAAGCACGAAACUUGCCCCGAGAUGAGUUCUCCCUGAGACUUUAAGUCUCCUGAAGGAACGUUGAAGACGACGACGUUGAUAGGUCGGGUGUGUAAGUGUAGCGAUACAUUGAGCUAACCGAUACUAAUGAACCGUGAGGCUUAACCUU